AACGCUGGCGGCGUGCCUAACACAUGCAAGUCGAACGAGAAAGUGGAGCAAUCCAUGAGUAAAGUGGCGACCGGGUGAGUAACACGUGACUAACCUACCCUCGAGUGGGGAAUAACUCCGGGAAACCGGAGCUAAUACCGCAUAACAUCUUCGGAACGCGAGUUCUGUUGAUCAAAGGAGCAAUUCGCUUGAGGAGGGAGUCGCGGCUGAUUAGCUAGUUGGCGGGGUAAUGGCCCACCAAGGCUUAGAUCGGUAGCCGGCCUGAGAGGGCGCACGGCCACACUGGAACUGAAACACGGUCCAGACUCCUACGGGAGGCAGCAGUGGGGAAUUUUGCGCAAUGGGGGAAACCCUGACGCAGCAACGCCGCGUGGAGGAUGAAGUCCCUUGGGAUGUAAACUCCUUUCGACCGGGAAGAUAAUGACGGU
rnacentral:rRNA from 1 species